rnacentral:rRNA from 1 species
AGUGGCGGACGGGUGAGUAACGCGUGGGUAACCUGCCUCAUACAGGGGGAUAACAGUUAGAAAUGACUGCUAAUACCGCAUAAGACCACAGUACCGCAUGGUACAGGGGUAAAAACUCCGGUGGUAUGAGAUGGACCCGCGUCUGAUUAGGUAGUUGGUGGGGUAACGGCCUACCAAGCCGAUGAUCAGUAGCCGACCUGAGAGGGUGACCGGCCACAUUGGGACUGAGACACGGCCCAA